UGGACUGUUCUGUGUUGCGUUCUUCCAAGAGUGCGUCCGUCCCAACACCGUGGCAACAACGCUAGACUGCACUAUUUCUUGCCGAUGUCGUGUUAGUUCGUCCGAAGUCUAUUUUCUACUUGGUUAGAACAAUUUCCUUGUUACAUGUCAUUCUCAGACAUGGACUCCGCAGCCAACUUUGUCAUCGUGCCCGUCGCACUGGGGCCGCAGGGAAUGGAGCGGACCAGUCUUCAUCUCUACAUCUGGGCAGACAUCUACUGCCAGCAGCAACCCGGGACACCCCAGGGAGCCCAAGCCCUCUACCGGUAGAGCUGCUGGGUCGUCGCCUACGUCGAACCUGUGGCCGCUGCAGCGCUGGCCACCCUCCCGGUCUUCGGCCUGUACCAGUACCCAGACGCCCACGCCGCCAUCGCCGCCGUCGUCAGGUUGGAGACCAUGGCCACCCUUGCCGCAUCGACGUUUUUAAAUAUGCAAGUCGAUGACGGCAACGCAACGGGCAUACAGACAAGACCGAAGACGGAAGCAGCGGUUCCACACUACAGGCCUACUGCAGCAGCAGUGGUGGUGGCGGUGAUAACACACAGGCCAGCACAAGCCUCGCAGGCAUGGAGGAAGCAUCGGACGUAUUGCGAAACGAAGCUAGGAAUCCCACUGGAACCGGAGGAAGGGAACCGCAAGAGUUGUGUGGUGUCUGUGGAAAUGUUUGGAGCAGACGGCAUGCGUUACACAGACACGCCAACGAACACACCCGUGACACAGCCCAUAUUUGCAAAGCAUGUGAUCAAUCAUCUUUGAAGAAUUCGAAGUUUGUGGGACGUUGCCCCAAGAAUACCGGCAAAAACCGCAAAUGCGACACCUGUGGUGAACUGUUCCACCUGGCUGAUCAUCUAUCUGAACAUUACCGACCGCGCACAGACGAGAGACCCUACAGAUGCGAGUGACCCUGGCUACUCCCUCCGCCUGCUCCAAGAGGCGCCUCUCGGCCCCCAGCCCCAGCCGGGCAAGGAGGAUCUCCCACGGUUCCCUACUGUAGGUAAGCAUCUCAGGCGAGCUUGCUUCCUGUGGUCUUUUUGUGCAUUCCCACGUCACAUAUGGUAGUGACGGCCAUGCACCGCACCAUGGACAAGUGCCGGCACGUAGGGUGGAAUUCAAGUGGUGUGCUCUUCCCAAGUUGGUGAUAGGUGUGUGUUUGUAUUCUUCUGUAUGCGCGGGCUUCUUGUACCCCCCGUUGCCGA